GCGGAUAUGACGGAAUGGCAGACGUAGAAGACUCAAACUCUUCGGAAGAAAUUCAUGUGGGUUCGAAUCCCAUUAUCCGCA
rnacentral:tRNA from 1 species